GUCCAAGGAAGCUACGAUGGCGAACCUGUCUAACGACUUUGUGUAAAAUUCAGUUUUUUCAUACGAUGGUUAUUGCACAUAUAUAUACUAUACUAAAAUUGCAGAUUCAAUUUGUUCCCUGACUCGGGACAGCCCGACGACGUUGUCCUCAGCGUUGCCACCUCCAUCUGGCUGCCCCGUCUCGGCGACCAUGUCUUCGCCUUUGGCCGCGACAAGAAAGUGUGCUUCUAGUGGGAGGUUCUGUCACACGACAAUCAAGUUCAAGAAGUGUCGCGCAUUCCCAAUGGCUCCAACCCCGGCAACUGCAUCUCCCUGCUAAGGACAUGUCUAUCGUUGGCGAUCUUGACAAUGGCGAUGAUGAAUUGAUGGUGGCGUGCAACGUCACAGGGCCUGAACAUGAACCAGAAUAGCAUGUUGAUCCUUCAGGAGAGCUGACAAACUUCUACUACACAAGGCUUCUGAAGUUCACAUCAAUAAUGUUCUAAAAAUGGUCUGCAGAAGGUCCAUCUCUGCAUAUGGCAUUGGUUUUCUACUAUUAUCUAGGACUGCAUUGCUAUUGCUUUAGUGGACAAAUUGAAGCUAAAGUAAGUGUUUUCUUGUUGCUGUUACUAGAGUGAUAUGUAGCUCCUUUUGCUUCACUCUUUCUCCAUGAACUGUAAAUUUCAUAUAAACAAAGUUGAAUUUGGCUAUAAAAUUGGUUACUGUUAGCUUAUAGUUAUUUCAAGAGUGUUGUGUGACAGCACUGGGAGUUUAAAAGCUCAAAUUUUAUACUGGUUGCUUUGCUCCUAGCUUUUCAAGAGUGUCAUUUUUUGAAGCAGCUGUGGAGAUAUUAUAUGAGAACAGUCUGCAGUUCUUGAAAUUUACUUGGGAUGUUUUUUGUUUCAUAUGACAAACAUAUAUACAUGCAUCCAUGUGUGCGUGUACUACAUGUAAGCAAAAUUUAGUUUACUUAGGUGCAAAAUCAUUUGGUUUUCAACUGAACAAGUGGCCUUAUAGUGUUUUGAAGGUUGAGGUACUGACAGAACAUAAUAAUAACCAUAAUCUCGAAGGAAGUUUACCUUGCAGGAUUGAUCAUGAUGUACAACAGCACAAUGAGGAGUCAGACUACAUGGGUAAGUAGCAUUAUGCAAUUUCCACAUUAUUGUGAGGCGAAUGGUGCGUUUUUCGAUGGUUUUCAUUAUUUGCUUGUCUUAUAUUACAAGCAGCAUGGAUGUUCUUUCAUCCCAUCGUAUUGUGGCACUACAGAAUUAUUGAUGAUCAACAUGCGGGUCCAGUAGUUUAAUUCUAGAUAACACACAUUUAUGCGGCAAAAGAAGCUAUUGUAGUUUUGCUUUGUUUCUUUUUUGCAAGGAUAGCUAAAUUACUUGAACAUGUGUAUAGUUCACAUCUCAUGUCUUGUUUUUCUUGUAUGGUAGAAACAUGGAGUUCUAUUCUCCAUGUUUUCCUUUUUCCCACAUAUAUUCAUUAAAUCUAUACUAAUAUAAAGGGAGACUUUCUCCACUCCAUUCGUGUGUUACCCCUCUCCACUCCCUACUUAAACGGUAAAAAUAAAUUAAAAUUAUGCACAAGUGGAGAUUUGAACAUCGAUCGUUGGCUCCAAAUAGAUUCACACCCACCUAUCCAGCAGAACAUACAUAUUUUUUUUAUGUUUUAUAAUAUAUACUCAAACAUAAUAUAAGAUUUGAAAAAUAGGGAAAAUAAGUUGUAGCAAUGCAUGGGCACUUAACUUGUGGAUGCAGACAUGUUCACACAGAGUGUUUUUGCCAUUCUAUCAUAUAAUGUUUUGGUCAUUUUGACAUGAGGUGUUUCGGCCAUUCGGUCACAGGCAACAACUAUAUUGUGUUUUGGCUUCUCCGAGAUAAGUAUUCCCUGUACAUAUUCUCUUCCAUAGACCAAUACUUUAUCAACCUCCACUAGCUUGGCCUCUACACCAGUUGCCAAGAGUAAGCUAGAUGAAUCUUGUGACAAAUUGUUUUGCUGAGGGUACUUGAAACAUCGUGGUCUGUUACACACUUAGACACUUCAAGGUUACAAGGCAUUUUACUUCUUGGUUUAUAAAACAUACCAUGCCCAUCCUUGAGUCCACUCUCGCAUGUACCAAUGUAACAUGCUCCUGAUGCAUAUUUACAAAAAAAACAUACAAGUCCUGUGCGUUGCUAUAGUUUUUAUAUAUCAUAUAAGAGAAAAUAUAAACUGUGGGUCUCCAGCUUCACACAAUUUUGUAGGACUUUGCACUUCAUGUACAGGAAGAUCCUACCAAAUUUGACAGUGAUGCUAAGAACUUAGGAAGGACCGAGUUUCCAGCAGAUGAAGAUGCUCAGUGUUGGUGAAUGUGUAAAGGUACCCAUACAAUUGCAGUUUCAUAUUUUUUGAUGCUCUAUAUAUCAUGAAUAAUUGAUUAUUGUUUCUCACUAAAUGUAUUGUUUGGGAUGCCUCUUCAACAUGCUCUACAAGAGCUGCCAUCAUCCUAUGCUCCUGGUUCUUGUUGUACAACAUUAUUGAAAGCAUUUCGCAAGUAUUAUAAGUUUAUAAUUAAUUUAAGUCAGUUAUACUUGACUAUUUAUAUGUUUUGUGAUGUGAUACGAGUAUCAUAUGCCUUAAAUCUCCUUAUGGAUGGUGUGUUGUGGCUGCUGAUUGUAAGUCAUUUUAAGCCCCACCUCCCAUCUUGCUUCUAAUUUUUUUGCCUAAUUCAGCAAAGUAUUGCAACACAAACUAAUUGCACUGCAAUUUAGCAUUUUGUAUUUACAUAUGCAAACACGUCUUUGCUGUCCCUUGCUGCAAUUGAGCAUCAUAUUCAUGCUCUCACUACUUUAUCAGCCACCAAAAAAGCUAAAUAGAAAAGCAAGUUGUCAGCAGACAUGCUAACAGCGCGAUGGUUGAGCACCUAGGUGCGGCACUCCGCACCUGGGCUCGAGCCCUGGCGCUGUGUGGGUCGUGUGCCCACCUCUCUGGUUUGUAACAGAACAGAUGGUUCCGUGACCGCCAAAGAAGCAAGCACAUGUGAGGUUCCUGCCUGCUUUCUAGAGUUCAGUGGGCCCCUACUUUAAGGUGAAGUCAAGGCGAUGUCCCUCCCCUUGAUUGAGUCUAGAUUCUAGAAAACAAGUUGUGUUCUUAAUGAGUAAUGACCUCACCAACAUGAAUUACAUGCAGCCACCUGAUUGCAACCUGGCCCUAUUUGUGUUAAACUAAUCAAAUUGUUAGUUCUAUGGCAACUCUUAAUGAAAACAUGAUUAUCGAGAUGCAUAUGCUAGAUGGAUACCUAUGGCUGUGUGAUUUACCACCUGAUGAGUUCAUUUAGGAAAAUAGUGAGUCAAUAAAAAAUAUUGGGUUUGUAGUCUCGAUUUUUCUUUGUCCAAAGUACUCCAUUUUUAAUCAGCUAAUGAAACCGUCUAAUUAGGAGAUCUCAGUUUUUUCUAUAUAUGAUGCUGAAAGCUGAAAUGGAACUUUUACUAGAAAUAUUCUAUAUAAUGGAAGAUUACUUCUGGAAAGCAUGAUUCUAAUAUUUGAAUUUCAAUGUGACUGAUUGAAUGUAUCCUUAUGAUCAAAAUAAUGAUAACUGUGCCAUUUAUGAUUUAUCUUGGUGCAUGAGACUUUCUUGACACCUGUUUUCCUACCAUAAUUUUUGCUACCUUAUGGUUGUCAUUCUCAUACUGAUGUUUUAGGUUUCUAAGCUUUGUCUUGUUUGUUUGUUCCACAACCAAUGACUAACUGAACUUUGCAAAAGUAUGGCUGUCAGUUUAUUCUAUUAUGUAUCUUCUUUUUUGAAAAAAUUAGAGAUCUCAGAUGGCAACAGAGAUAUGCUCGUUUUUGUGGCAACAGAGAUUCUAUUAUUUAGGUGAUCCAGAUCCUUUUCUAUCUGUAUAUUAACCUCCGCGUGAUGAAUAUCUAUUUCCUUGGAACUCCCAUUUGUGUGUUUUGUCUGUUGUCUGUUAGGCUUAUAACUGACUAUAUGUAACAAUCCCCACCAAGAUUUUUUUGGCCACUCCUUUGGAUAGACUUUUUUAGGAAUCCAUAGCAUUUUUUAGAACAGUAAACUAUCAAAUUGGUAUUAAAUAAAUAUUCAGAUCCAGCUGACAGGGUUCAUGGAAAAGAACACAGUGAAGUUCAUGAAGGAGCUCUGGAGCCUUCUCCUCAGUGCGCAGCAGAAUGCCAGUGGUGUGCCUCAACAGUUUCUGGAUGAAAAGGAGGCUGAGAUACAUCAGAAAAAGACAUAGGAUGACAGGAUUGCGCAGGAGAUCCAAAAGAAGCCAGAAAAGGAGGGAAUGGACUCAGAACUGGAAAAGAACAAAACGAUGGAUGGGGAUGUUGGUAACUCAAGAUCCUAUGGUGAUCCAGUUGCCUCUGCUUUAAACAGUACAAAUUUCAAUAUCGAGGAAGAAAAGGACAAUGAUUUCAAGCGCACCUCAAGACCAAAAAAUAGGUUGUAAGGAUGCCACAAAAAUGAUGCUUGUUGUUAAGGAGAUAUUCACAUGCCAAAUUCAGGUUGUAAGGAUGCCACAAAAAUGAAGACCUUUGUUGUAGUGACAUAAGGAGUUUCGAAACUGCAAGGAAUUUUAAAUUUGAAUAUUUUUCAGUGAGAUGUUAAGGUAGAUAAAGUUGUUGAGUUAGAUGAAACAAAAAAAGAGGCACUGAUCGUUAAGACGACAAUACAUGAUAUCAUGAACCAAAUGAUUCGGGUAAU